rnacentral:rRNA from 1 species
GGGACACUGUCAGGUGGGCAGUUUGACUGGGGCGGUCGCCUCCCAAAAGGUAACGGAGGCGCUCAAAGGUUCUCUCAGUACGGUCGGAAAUCGUACGUAGAGGGUAAAGGCAAAAGAGAGCUUGAUUGCAAGACAUACAGGUCGAGCAAGGAUGAAAAUCGGACUUAGUGAUCCGGUGGUUCUGCGUGGAAGGGCCAUCGCUCAACGGAUAAAAGCU